ACCCCCCCCCCCCCCCCGCACCCCCCAAACCCUAACCGCCUCUCCCCCCGCCGCGCCGUCGCCAUGGACGCCAUCGACGCGGAGCUCGCGCGGGCGCAGGAGGAGCGCAAGAAGAUGGAGGAGGCCCUUGCCGCCGGCGCGCCCAUGGCCGUCUCCUCCGUCACCUUCGACACCGAUCUCUACGGCGGCGGCGGCUCCGACCCCAACCGCUUCGCCGGCUACGACACCUCCAUCCCCGCCUCCGAGGACGACGCGCCCGAGGACGACUCCGAGGCGGCCGUCAACCCCGCCGCCCGCCGCCUCGCCUCCUACACCGGCCACGCCGUCGCCGCCGCCGACAUCCCCCGCGCCGCCGAGGACGACGGCCUCCCCAAGAAGUCGCAGCGCAUCAUCGACCGCGAGGAUGACUAUCGCCGCCGCCGGCUGGCCCGCAUCAUCUCGCCGGAGCGCCAUGAUCCCUUCGCCGCCGGUGAGGCCACCCCGGACCCUUCCGUGCGGACCUAUGCCGAUGCCAUGCGCGAGAAUGACCUGCAGAAGCAGAAGGAGCAGCUGCUGCGUGACAUAGCUCAGAAGAAGAAGGAAGAGGAGGAGAAGGCCAAGGAGAAGAAGGCCGUGCCCGAGCAGCAGCCAGUGGCAGCGCCGAAGCGCCGCAAUAGAUGGGAUCAGUCGCAGGAUGGUGAUGCUUCUGCUGCUGCUGGAUCCAAGAAGGCGAAGACCUCCUCCGAUUGGGAUGCUCCUGAUGCAACUCCUGGGAUUGGGCGCUGGGAUGCCACCCCUGGUCGUGUCGGGGAUGCGACACCGUCGGUGAGAAGGAAUCGUUGGGAUGAGACACCAACUCCUGGGAGGAUGGCCGAUGCGGAUGCAACACCUGCAGCUGGUGGCAUUACUCCAGGUGCCACACCUUCUGGAGCUUGGGAUGCUACUCCUAAGCUGCCUGGUGGGCUUGUCACGCCAACACCCAAGAAGCAGAGAUCGAGAUGGGAUGAGACUCCUGCAAGUAUGGGUAGUGCUACACCUGGAGGCACUGGUGCUGCGACGCCUGCAGGUUACACUCCUGGUCCGACGCCAUUUGGUGGUGACAACCUUGCGACGCCAACACCCGGCCAGAUUGCUUCUCGUGGUCCAAUGACUCCAGAGCAGUACCAGCUCUUGCGGUGGGAGCGGGACAUUGAGGAGCGGAACAGGCCUCUUACGGAUGAGGAGCUUGAUACUAUGUUCCCGCAGGAAGGGUACAAGAUUCUUGAACCUCCAGCUUCAUACCAACCCAUACGCACACCAGCAAGAAAGCUGCUCGCUACACCAACACCAUUGGGCACACCAUUGUAUGCUAUUCCUGAGGAGAAUCGUGGGCAGCAGUUUGAUGUGCCCAAGGAGUUGCCUGGUGGGUUGCCCCUCAUGAAGCCAGAGGAUUACCAGUACUUUGGAACAUUGCUGAAUGAGGAGGAGGAGGAGCAGCUAUCUCCAGAAGAGCAGAAGGAGAGGAAGAUCAUGAAGCUCCUGCUCAAGGUGAAGAAUGGCACACCCCCACAGCGGAAGACAGCACUUCGACAACUGACAGACAAAGCAAGGGAAUUUGGUGCUGGCCCAUUGUUCAACAAGAUUCUACCCUUGCUCAUGCAGCCAACACUUGAGGACCAGGAGCGGCAUCUUCUGGUGAAGGUCAUUGACAGGGUACUGUAUAAGCUGGAUGAGCUAGUCCGUCCGUUUGUGCAUAAGAUUCUUGUGGUCAUUGAGCCACUUCUGAUUGAUGAGGACUACUAUGCUCGUGUUGAGGGCCGGGAGAUUAUCUCAAAUCUUAGCAAAGCUGCUGGUCUUGCUACCAUGAUUGCCGCCAUGAGACCAGAUAUUGAUAACAUUGAUGAGUAUGUGAGAAAUACCACUGCUAGAGCAUUUAGCGUGGUGGCUUCUGCUUUGGGUAUCCCUGCUCUCCUGCCAUUCUUAAAGGCUGUCUGUCAGAGUAAGAAGUCCUGGCAAGCUCGGCACACUGGUAUCAAGAUUGUUCAGCAGAUUGCUAUUCUUAUGGGCUGCGCUGUUCUGCCACAUCUCAAGUCCCUAGUUGAGAUCAUUGAGCAUGGUCUUAGUGACGAGAACCAGAAAGUGCGGACAAUCACUGCCCUUUCUCUUGCUGCACUUGCUGAGGCUGCUGCACCAUAUGGUAUAGAAAGUUUUGAUACUGUUUUGAAGCCUCUGUGGAAGGGUAUCAGAUCUCACCGUGGAAAGGUUCUUGCUGCCUUCUUGAAAGCUAUUGGUUUCAUCAUCCCUCUUAUGGAUGCGCUGUAUGCCAGUUACUACACGAAGGAGGUCAUGCAAAUCCUGAUUAGGGAGUUCCAGUCACCAGAUGAAGAGAUGAAGAAGAUUGUCCUGAAGGUUGUUAAACAGUGUGUCAGUACAGAGGGUGUAGAGGCUGAUUAUAUCCGGAAUGACAUCCUUCCUGAGUUUUUCCGUCACUUCUGGGUUAGGAGAAUGGCUCUGGACCGCAGGAACUAUAAGCAGCUUGUGGAAACAACGGUAGAGAUGGCAAAUAAGGUUGGAGUUGCUGAUAUUGUUGGGAGGAUUGUUGAGGAUCUGAAAGAUGAAAGCGAGCCUUACAGGAGAAUGGUGAUGGAAACAAUUGAGAAGGUUGUGGCUAAUUUGGGUGCUUCAGAUAUUGAUGCUCGUUUGGAGGAGCUGCUUAUUGAUGGCAUCCUGUAUGCUUUCCAAGAGCAGACAAGUGAUGAUGCAAAUGUCAUGCUUAAUGGUUUUGGAGCUGUUGUCAAUGCACUGGGACAGAGGGUCAAGCCUUACCUUCCUCAGAUUUGUGGUACCAUUAAGUGGCGGUUGAACAACAAGAGUGCAAAAGUUAGGCAACAAGCUGCUGAUCUGAUCUCGAGGAUAGCUAUUGUGAUGAAACAGUGUCAGGAGGAGCAGCUUAUGGGUCAUUUGGGUGUUGUGCUGUAUGAGUAUUUGGGAGAAGAGUACCCUGAGGUGUUGGGUUCGAUUCUUGGAGCAUUGAAAGCUAUUGUGAAUGUCAUUGGUAUGACUAAGAUGACACCGCCAAUCAAGGAUCUUCUUCCUCGGCUGACUCCUAUCUUGAAGAAUAGGCAUGAGAAGGUCCAGGAGAACUGCAUUGAUCUAGUUGGUAGGAUUGCUGAUCGUGGAGCAGAAUUUGUGCCUGCUAGGGAGUGGAUGAGGAUUUGUUUUGAGCUUCUUGAAAUGUUGAAGGCUCACAAGAAGGGUAUUAGAAGAGCCACCGUGAACACAUUUGGUUAUAUUGCGAAGGCUAUUGGGCCGCAGGAUGUGUUGGCUACUCUGUUGAAUAACUUGAAGGUGCAGGAACGGCAAAACCGUGUCUGCACAACUGUCGCAAUUGCCAUUGUUGCUGAAACCUGCUCACCUUUUACGGUUCUGCCUGCCCUGAUGAAUGAGUACCGAGUCCCAGAACUCAAUGUUCAGAAUGGUGUCCUGAAGUCUCUCUCUUUCCUCUUUGAGUAUAUUGGUGAGAUGGGCAAGGAUUACAUAUAUGCUGUUACUCCCUUGCUUGAAGAUGCUCUAAUGGACAGAGAUCUUGUUCACCGGCAAACUGCUGCCUCUGCUGUGAAGCACAUGGCUCUUGGUGUUGCUGGCUUGGGCUGUGAGGAUGCUCUUGUCCAUUUGCUUAACUAUGUCUGGCCAAACAUAUUUGAGACAUCUCCCCAUGUCAUCAAUGCUGUCAUGGAGGCGAUUGAGGGGAUGAGAGUUGCUCUUGGUCCAGCUGUGAUCUUGAAUUACUGCCUUCAAGGCCUUUUCCAUCCAGCAAGGAAAGUACGUGAAGUAUAUUGGAAAAUCUACAACUCACUAUAUAUUGGUGCACAAGAUGCGCUUGUUGCUGCUUAUCCUGCACUGGAUGACGAUGGGGAUAAUAUCUACAGCCGUCCAGAGCUGGCGAUGUUUGUCUGAUCAAUGCAGGAUGUACAUUUCCAUGUACCGUCAUCCAAUAUAUGCGUGUGAACUGUGAAGCUUGAACUCGGUGGCUUGUUGCUUCUGAAGGGGGUGCAAUGUUUAGGAUAUAUUUCCCCCUGGUUUACUUGUGUAAUGUAAUGAUAAAUUGCUACCUGUUCUGAUGUACUGACGUUUUUGUUACUGGUUUUGUGUUCAGGGUAUUUUGACCCGGUUUGCUGAGGAGUUCCCUUAGAUUAAAGAUCCCAAGGAGAUGAUAUCUGUCCUGAAUGUUUACUUUGUUGCCGUUGCAUGAUCCCCUCCGCUCUGAAGAGAAAAUGAUCAACAUAGUAUUACUGCUGUCCCAAUAACUGUAUUAUUAGCAAAAAAAUGUUAUAAGCUACUAUCGAGAUUGUGAACUUGUCUUAUUAUUAGAGUCUGUAUUAUUAAUGUUAUUACUAUGCCUGGAACGUCACUUAUGUAUGUCUGGAACGUGGUAUUAGUAUUACUACCCUGCUCUGAGUUGAUGGAUCAAUGGAUGGAUGGUUAGAUCGUAUAGUGUCUGUUUUCUUCCCGGACUGUUAGUUGUUACUUUAGAAAAUGUUUUAAAUUGUAUUGCGUAUGUUGUGGUUUGUGAUCCAUCAGACAAGCUCCUCAUCAGUCACUAGUUACCUAAA